rnacentral:rRNA from 1 species
UAAGGAAUAUUGGACAAUGGAGGCAACUCUGAUCCAGCCAUGCCGCGUGAAGGAAUAAGGCCCUAUGGGUUGUAAACUUCUUUUAGACGGGACAAAACCCCUUUACGUGUAAAGGGUUGAUGGUACUGUCAGAAUAAGCAUCGGCUAACUUCGUGCCAGCAGCCGCGGUAAUACGAAGGAUGCAAGCGUUAUCCGGAAUUAUUGGGUUUAAAGGGUGCGUAGGCGGACUAAUAAGUCAGUGGUGAAAGCCUGCAGCUUAACUGCAGAAUUGCCAUUGAUACUGUUAGUCUUGAGUACAGUUGAGGUAGGCGGAAUGGGUCAUGUAGCGGUGAGAUGCUUAGAUAUGACACAGAACACCCAUUGCGAAGGCAGCUUGCUAAGCUGUAACUGACGCUGAGGCACGAAAGCGUGGGGAGCAAACA